AGUGCUUAAACCGUACAUGGAGGGCAUGGAUGAAUUUCUAUAGUAUGCAGAGGGCAUCGAACUAUAGAAAGGAGACUGUAUAGGUUUAGAGCGUAGCAAUACGUUGAAGGCCGAGGAUGGUAAUUACAGUGGUCAGUAAUUCAACAUUCUUUUUCAGCAUCCGGCUGACGGCGACGGGAGCUGGGAUGCUGGAGGUGCCGGGGGUUGACAGAGAGAAAAAGAGGUCGCAUACGGCGCUUCGUCAACGAACCAAAGAUCAAAUCUGGCCAUUUCUCACACACACGCAGAGGCAAUCAACCGACAAAAAAAAAAGAAGAUAUUAAAGAAACAAUUUUUUUAUAUUUGAAAAAGUUUAAAGAGCUGGAAAACUUAACAAAAUCCUAGAAAUACAAUAAUGUUUGAAUAUCAAAUGCUACAAAACCAGCUUCGAAUACACGAGAAGAAUAGUAAAAGUUGAAAAGUCCAGCACACUAGCAAUGAUGAGCAUCCGGCUGACGGCGACGGGAGCUGGGAUGCUGGAGGUGCCGGGGGUUGACAGAGAGAAAAAGAGGUCGCAUACGGCGCUUCGUCAACGAACCAAAGAUCAAAUCUGGCCAUUUCUCACACACACGCAGAGGCAA